GAUGAACGCUGGCGGCGUGCCUAAUACAUGCAAGUCGAGCGAACAGACGAGGAGCUUGCUCCUCUGACGUUAGCGGCGGACGGGUGAGUAACACGUGGAUAACCUACCUAUAAAACUGGGAUAACUUCGGGAAACCGGAGCUAAUACCGGAUAAUAUAUUGAACCGCAUGGUUCAAUAGUGAAAGACGGUUUUGCUGUCACUUAUAGAUGGAUCCGCGCUGCAUUAGCUAGUUGGUAAGGUAACGGCUUACCAAGGCAACGAUGCGUAGCCGACCUGAGAGGGUGAUCGGCCACACUGGAACUGAGACACGGUCCAGACUCCUACGGGAGGCAGCAGUAGGGAAUCUUCCGCAAUGGGCGAAAGCCUGACGGAGCAACGCCGCGUGAGUGAUGAAGGUCUUCGGAUCGUAAAACUCUGUUAUUAGGGAAGAACAAAUGUGUAAGUAACUAUGCACGUCUUGACGGUACCUAAUCAGAAAGCCACGGCUAACUACGUG
rnacentral:rRNA from 1 species